GGCCCGGAUGGCGAAACUGGUAGACGCAUCGGACUUAAAAUCCGUUUUGUCAAGCCCUUUCUGUUUGAGCGACCGGGCCA
rnacentral:tRNA from 1 species